UACGGGGGGGGCAAGCGUUGUUCGGAAUUACUGGGCGUAAAGGGUGCGUAGGCGGCGCGGUAAGUCGGAUGUGAAAUCUCGGAGCUUAACUUCGAAACUGCAUUCGAUACUGCCGUGCUUGAGGACUGGAGAGGAGACUGGAAUUUACGGUGUAGCGGUGAAAUGCGUAGAUAUCGUAAGGAAGACCAGUGGCGAAGGCGGGUCUCUGGACAGUUCCUGACGCUGAGGCACGAAGGUCAGGGGAGCAAACGGG
rnacentral:rRNA from 1 species